rnacentral:rRNA from 1 species
AUUGAACGCUGGCGGCAGGCCUAACACAUGCAAGUCGAGCGGAUGAGGAAAGCUUGCUUUUCGAUUCAGCGGCGGACGGGUGAGUAAUGCCUAGGAAUCUGCCUGUUAGUGGGGGAUAACUCGGGGAAACUCGGGCUAAUACCGCAUACGUCCUACGGGAGAAAGUGGGGGAUCUUCGGACCUCACGCUAACAGAUGAGCCUAGGUCGGAUUAGCUAGUAGGUGAGGUAAUGGCUCACCUAGGCGACGAUCCGUAACUGGUCUGAGAGGAUGAUCAGUCACACUGGAACUGAGACACGGUCCAGACUCCUACGGGAGGCAGCAGUGGGGAAUAUUGGACAAUGGGUGAAAGCCUGAUCCAGCCAUGCCGCGUGUGUGAAGAAGGUCUUCGGAUUGUAAAGCACUUUAAGUUGGGAGGAAGGGUAUUCACCUAAUACGUGGGUACUUUGACGUUACCAACAGAAUAAGCACCGGCUAACUCUGUGCCAGCAGCCGCUGUAAAAC